GAAUCAAACACGUUAGUGUCAGUAUAAUAUUAUUUACUAUUAAUAUAAAUGGACAAAAUUAAUACCCUGGUGUUUUUCAGCUAGCGAGCCAGCGCCCCAGGAGCCCGCACCUUCCUUCCCGAUACAAAAGCUGCAGAUAGAUGAAAGAGAAGCAUUCGGCCCACGGCUGCCUCCUGUCUUCUGCCCCAAUGUUCGUCAAACACUUGAGGCACCUCAAAAGGAGAAACAUAAAAAAAACAAAGAAAAACACAAGACCAAGAAGGAGCACAGACGGAGGAAAGAGAAG